rnacentral:rRNA from 1 species
GAGUUUGAUCAUGGCUCAGGACGAACGCUGGCGGCGUGCUUAACACAUGCAAGUCGAGCGGGGAUAUUGAUUGGAAGGUUUCGGCCGGAAGGUUGAUAUUCCAGCGGCGGACGGGUGAGUAACGCGUGAGCAAUCUGUCCCAGACAGGGGGAUAACAGAUGGAAACAUCUGCUAAUACCGCAUAAGACCACGAGGUCACAUGAUCUUGGGGUAAAAAGGAGAAAUCCGGUUUGGGGUGAGCUCGCGUCCGAUUAGGUAGUUGGUGAGGUAACGGCCCACCAAGCCCGCGAUCGGUAGCCGACCUGAGAGGGUGAUCGGCCACAUUGGAACUGAGACACGGU